rnacentral:rRNA from 1 species
GAGUUUGAUCGUGGCUCAGAUUGAACGCUGGCGGAAUGCUUUACACAUGCAAGUCGAGCGGCAGCGCGGGGCAACCUGGCGGCGAGCGGCGAACGGGUGAGUAAUGCAUCGGAACAUGUCCAUGUCGUGGGGGAUAGCCCGGCGAAAGCCGGAUUAAUACCGCAUACGCCCGAGAGGGGAAAGUGGGGGACCGCAAGGCCUCACGCGAUUGGGUUGGCCGAUGUCCGAUUAGCUAGUUGGCGGGGUAAGAGCCCACCAAGGCGAUGAUCGGUAGCUGGUCUGAGAGGAUGAUCAGCCACACUGGGACUGAGACACGGCCCAGACUCCUACGGGAGGCAGCAGUGGGGAAUUUUGGAC